rnacentral:lncRNA from 1 species
GGCUCACCCUUGCUGAUGCUGAGUAAUCUGCAGGCUGCAAUCUGCCCGUGAAAGAACUCUUGCAACACAUUGUGUGAGGAUCCCAGGCUGCCCUGUCCUUCCCUGGGAAUCAGGUCAAGAGCCCUGCUGGCAGGUGUCCUAGAGCAUGAAUCAGGCCCCUGGCAAGGAGAAGGCGGGAGAUCUUGGCUGAGAUCAGAUGUGGAACCAAUUCAGGAUUGUCCUUGUGAUUCUUUUUCCUAAGUGGAAUACUGAGCCUCCAGCUUGUGUGUCAUAUGUGUGGACUUUUCAGCAUAUUCUUCUCUGGCCCAGAAGUCUGGAUUCUUCUUGUCUGUUGCAAUAAUAUAAAGUUAUUCAGAGCUGUACAUGAAGAGAAGUCCCACAGGGACCCUGGGAUCAGAAGAACUCUGGGAAAUGCCUGGCCCAGCCAGUGCUGUUCUAAAGAUCCUCAUCCUCAUGGAGAUAACCAUUUUUAAGGAAGAAAAGAGGAUCUGGACCCUACCCAUCUCAGUCUCCAUCAGAUCUUAUGGAUGCUCCAGGAAUUGGCCAUGAUUCUCCUCUUUUCUACCAUCUUGUAUGUUGGGCUUUGUAGAGGAUAGAUGUUUUCUAGAAGAAUGGCAGAUAAGGCAAGGUCUGCAGCUUGCCAUUGAUAGUGUCUUUAUCAACAGAUCUGUGAGGAAUUGUGCAGCUGAGAGGGGAGAAGAGAAAUCAGAGAGUGGAUGGACUGCCACAGUUCAACAUAUACUGGUGCUUUCAAUAUAGAAUCCACAAGGCAACCUGCAUGCUGGGCUCUGUGCUAGGCACUAGGGGUAUAUCUAUGAGAUGCCACCCCAGCUCCCACAGUCUUACAAUCUAAUGGGGAAGAGAGAUAUGUCAAUAGACAAACGCAGCAGAUGGCAAGUGCUGGGAUAUGAAACAGUAAGCAGAAGCCACAGUGUUCUCUGGGACUUCUGAGCUGAGUCCCAAAGUAAUUAGAUUAAUCCGUCAUGGGAGGUGGAGUGGGUAGGGGGAGCUCCUGGAAGCAUGAUCAAAAGUGGAGAGCUAAGGUGAGGGAGAAGAAAGAAAUGAGAUUCAGCAAAGAGGAGGAGAGCAAUGAAGGGCCAUGUAUGACCAGGCGAAGGCAAAUUGUUCGGACCAAACAUGACAGUAGGGUGGGUUUUUGAGGGGUAUCCACUGCACUUACAGAGGCAAGAUUCUCUAUGGUGACCUUUCAGUGAGGGUGGGCAAAUACACUACUUUUUGAGUCAGCCAUUUUUCACUACUGAGCACCUCUGGCCUUAGCAAGUUCUGAGCAUGAAUACUUUCUUCUGUUUCUAAGCCAUUCAACAAAUAUCAAAGUGCUUUCCCAUGUAUUGGUCAUCUUAGGCAAACUGGGUGGACAUGUAGAGCAAGACGUAAUGAGGUAAGCACUCACUAGAGCUAGGUCAUCUUAGAAAAGUCACUUAGCUUCACUGAGCCUCAGUCUUCCUAUCUGUGAAAUGGGGAUAAUGACCCUUAUGUCACCUGGUGGGCAAGGUCUAAAUAAAAUCAUUGUAGUUAGAUCCAUAGUAGGUUCUUUCUGACCUACCACUGUGCACCUCACGCCGUUGCUAUUCCAGUGGGAUAUAUCCAGUGGGGUUACGGGUAUGACAUUUCGGAACCCCACCAUCACUUGUAUCAGCAGGUCUGUCCUAGGUUCCCCAACUAAGCUUCCUGGAUGAGGCACCUAGUGGCGUCCCCUAGUUUGAGUGUGGGGGGUUUGGUAAACUAGUCCUUAUGUAUGCUUGUCAGAUGGAGGGUACUGUCUUUAAGAUGGGCUCAUAGCUGAAUCUGGAAGGUAAGUGCUCCAGGCCAGUAUUGUUUUCUGCAGGAUUCAAAGUUCCCUUGCUAUUUCUGCUGACUUUGCUUCCCCUCUCGUGUUCUAUAUCCCAAACCUAUUAUCUUCACCAGCGUUAAUUUGCCUCCACAACUCUGUUUUUGCAUUUUGAAAUGGAAUUUCCCUUAACCUAUAUUCCUCUGGUUCCCAAACUCCACCUGCUUCAGUUUUUUUUUCAAUAUCAUCUACAUUUCCUUCACUAGAUUAUAGCCUUAGUCAUUUGUACCCUUAGAAUGAAUAUUUUUUUCUGUCAUAUCUUUGUUUGAACCUUUUCACAUUUGACUUCAGACAUUACCCAUCUCCUUCAUCUGACCACUUUCUUCACUUUUCUCAUCUUUCCAUUUUGGUUGUAUGUCUACUGAGCAAGGGGCUCUGUGCAGAGCAUUCAAAGAUGACUGAGAUGUAGUCUUGUGGGUAGAGAGAGACAAUUAGAAUGCACCGUGGAGAGUGUUAGGUUGAGGGAAGCGGAGAUUACAGGAGUCCAAAUGUCUUAUCCGAGGAUAUGGGAUAGGCUUGAGAGAAGAUGCUGAGCUCAUGUAGGUGAGGUAUUGUCCUACGUGAAGGAAAAGAGGCAGGAGAUGGCAGCUUGGAGGCUAUAUUACUUUCUCUGGGGCUGCCAUACCAAAGUACCACAAACUGGGUGGCUUAAAACAUCAAAAAUGUAUUUUCUCACAGUUCUAGAAGGUAGAAGCCCAAAAUCAAGAUGUUGGCCCUACAGCUGUGCUCCUUCUGAAGGCUUUGGGGUGAAUGUGUUUAAUGCCCUUUUCUUAGCUUCUGCCCUUUUCUUUUCUGGCCUUCACAGAAGGCCAAAGAGCAAUCCUUGGCCUUCCUUGGCUUGUGGAUGCAUCGUUUCAGUCUCUGCCUCUGUUUUCACAUGGCCCUCUUCCCUGUGUAUCUGUCUCUACGCUGCUUCUCAUCUUAUAAGGACACAAGUCAGAUUGGAAUAAAGCCUAUUCUAAUUCAGUAUAAUCACAUCUUAACUUGAUUAUGUAUGCAAAGACCAUAUUUCCAAAUAAGGUCACAUUUUCAGGUCCUCGGGGUUAGAGCUUUCACAUGUCUUUUUGGGGGACAUAGUUCAACUCAUAAUAGAAACCUCGCAGAUAAAUCAUUUUGGCCGGUGCACAGAGUUAAGUGGUGGAUUAUCAAGAAUAUGGAAUUUUAGAAUUUUAGCUUCUUGGUUGAUUUUUGGGAAUUAACAUACAGGAGAGCAGGUUUAGAAGUAACAAUAACACUUUGAGAGGCCGAGGUGGGCAGAUCAUGAGGUCAGG